ensembl:misc_RNA 7SK 7SK RNA
GGAUGUGAGGGUGAUCCAGCUGCAACAUCUGUCACCCUACUGAUUGUCAGGUUGAUUCGGCUGAUCUGGCUGGCUAGGCGGGUGUCCCCUUCCUCCCUCACCGCUCCAUGUGCGUCCCUCCUGAAGCUCUGUGCUCGUGCUCGGUAGAAGAGGACCAUUUCCUCUGUCACGGGUAUACAAGUAGCUAGAACCCCUGCUAGAACCUCCCAACAAGCUCUCAAAAUUAACAUUUUUCUAACUUCAAAAAAUUGGGUGGCUAAACCCAGCACCCUGAGAAUUGAAAAUGUGAGCCUAGCCAG